AGUGAACGCUGGCGGUAGGCCUAGCACAUGCAAGUCGAACGGCAGCACAGUAAGAGCUUGCUCUUACGGGUGGCGAGUGGCGGACGGGUGAGGAAUACAUCGGAAUCUACUUUUUCGUGGGGGAUAACGUAGGGAAACUUACGCUAAUACCGCAUACGACCUACGGGUGAAAGCAGGGGAUCUUCGGACCUUGCGCGAUUGAAUGAGCCGAUGUCGGAUUAGCUAGUUGGCGGGGUAAAGGCCCACCAAGGCGACGAUCCGUAGCUGGUCUGAGAGGAUGAUCAGCCACACUGGAACUGAGACACGGUCCAGACUCCUACGGGAGGCAGCAGUGGGGAAUAGUGGACAAUGGGCGCAAGCCUGAUCCAGCCAUACCGCGUGGGUGAAGAAGGCCUUCGGGUUGUAAAGCCCUUUUGUUGGGAAAGAAAAGCAGCAGGUUAAUACCCCGCUGUUCUGACGGUACCCAAAGAAUAAGCACCGGCUAACUUCGUG
rnacentral:rRNA from 1 species